rnacentral:rRNA from 2 species
UAAACGACUCUCGGCAACGGAUAUCUCGGCUCUCGCAUCGAUGAAGAACGUAGCGAAAUGCGAUACUUGGUGUGAAUUGCAGAAUCCCGCGAACCAUCGAGUCUUUGAACGCAAGUUGCGCCCGAAGCCAUUAGGUUGAGGGCACGUCUGCCUGGGCGUCUCG